rnacentral:rRNA from 1 species
UGGGGAAUUUUGGACAAUGGGCGAAAGCCUGAUCCAGCAAUGCCGCGUGUGUGAAGAAGGCCUUCGGGUUGUAAAGCACUUUUGUCCGGAAAGAAAUCCUUGGCUCUAAUACAGUCGGGGGAUGACGGUACCGGAAGAAUAAGCACCGGCUAACUACGUGCCAGCAGCCGCGGUAAUACGUAGGGUGCAAGCGUUAAUCGGAAUUACUGGGCGUAAAGCGUGCGCAGGCGGUUUGCUAAGACCGAUGUGAAAUCCCCGGGCUCAACCUGGGAACUGCAUUGGUGACUGGCAGGCUAGAGUAUGGCAGAGGGGGGUAGAAUUCCACGUGUAGCAGUGAAAUGCGUAGAGAUGUGGAGGAAUACCGAUGGCGAAGGCAGCCCCCUGGGCCAAAUACUGACGCUCAUGCACGAAAGCGUGGGGAGCAAACAGGAUUAGAUACCCUGGUAGUCCACGCCCUAAACGAUGUCAACUAGUCGUUGGGGAUUCAUUUCCUUAGUAACGUAGCUAACGCGUGAAGUUGACCGCCUGGGGAGUACGGUCGCAAGAUU